AGCAGUCGCCGCGGUAAUACGGAGGAUCCAAGCGUUAUCCGGAAUCAUUGGGUUUAAAGGGUCCGUAGGCGGUCUUGUAAGUCAGUGGUGAAAGCCCAUCGCUCAACGGUGGAACGGCCAUUGAUACUGCAGGACUUGAAUUAUUGGGAAGUAACUAGAAUAUGUAGUGUAGCGGUGAAAUGCUUAGAGAUUACAUGGAAUACCAAUUGCGAAGGCAGGUUACUACCAAUUGAUUGACGCUGAUGGACGAAAGCGUGGGUAGCGAACAGGAUUAGAUACCCCCGUAGUCCCUGUCUCUUAUAA
rnacentral:rRNA from 1 species